rnacentral:rRNA from 1 species
UGGGGAAUUUUGGACAAUGGGCGAAAGCCUGAUCCAGCAAUGCCGCGUGUGUGAAGAAGGCCUUCGGGUUGUAAAGCACUUUUGUCCGGAAAGAAAUCCUUGGCUCUAAUACAGUCGGGGGAUGACGGUACCGGAAGAAUAAGCGCCGGCUAACUACGUGCCAGCAGCCGCGGUAAUACGUAGGGUGCAAGCGUUAAUCGGAAUUACUGGGCGUAAAGCGUGCGCAGGCGGUUUGCUAAGACCGAUGUGAAAUCCCCGGGCUCAACCUGGGAACUGCAUUGGUGACUGGCAGGCUAGAGUAUGGCAGAGGGGGGUAGAAUUCCACGUGUAGCAGUGAAAUGCGUAGAGAUGUGGAGGAAUACCGAUGGCGAAGGCAGCCCCCUGGGCCAAUACUGACGCUCAUGCAC